GCCGUUGUAUAGCAGUGGUUAGCUUGUCGCCCUCCGACGGCGGAAUCAGACCCGGGUUCGAAUCCCGGCAGCGGUG
rnacentral:tRNA from 1 species